rnacentral:rRNA from 1 species
UACGUAGGUGACAAGCGUUGUCCGGAUUUACUGGGCGUAAAGAGCGCGCAGGCGGUCGAUCAAGUCGAGUGUGAAAGCCCCCGGCUCAACUGGGGAGGGUCAUUCGAUACUGAUCGACUCGAAGGCAGGAGAGGGAAGUGGAAUUCCCGGUGUAGUGGUGAAAUGCGUAGAUAUCGGGAGGAACACCAGUGGCGAAGGCGACUUCCUGGCCUGUUCUUGACGCUGAGGCGCGAAAGCUAGGGUAGCAAACGGG